rnacentral:rRNA from 1 species
GAUGAACGCUGGCGGCGUGCCUAAUACAUGCAAGUCGAGCGAACAGAUGAGGAGCUUGCUCCUCUGACGUUAGCGGCGGACGGGUGAGUAACACGUGGAUAACCUACCUAUAAGACUGGGAUAACUUCGGGAAACCGGAGCUAAUACCGGAUAAUAUAUUGAACCGCAUGGUUCAAUAGUGAAAGACGGUUUUGCUGUCACUUAUAGAUGGAUCCGCGCCGCAUUAGCUAGUUGGUAAGGUAACGGCUUACCAAGGCAACGAUGCGUAGCCGACCUGAGAGGGUGAUCGGCCACACUGGAACUGAGACACGGUCCAGACUCCUACGGGAGGCAGCAGUAGGGAAUCUUCCGCAAUGGGCGAAAGCUUGACGGAGCAACGCCGCGUGAGUGAUCAAGGUCUUCGGAUCGUAAAACUCUGUUAUUAGGGAAGAACAAAUGUGUAAGUAACUAUGCACGUCUUGACGGUACCUAAUCAGAAAGCCACGGCUAACUACGUG